AGAGUUUGAUCCUGGCUCAGAUUGAACGCUGGCGGCAGGCCUAACACAUGCAAGUCGAACGGUAACAGGAAGAAGCUUGCUUCUUUGCUGACGAGUGGCGGACGGGUGAGUAAUGUCUGGGAAACUGCCUGAUGGAGGGGGAUAACUACUGGAAACGGUAGCUAAUACCGCAUAACGUCGCAAGACCAAAGAGGGGGACCUUCGGGCCUCUUGCCAUCGGAUGUGCCCAGAUGGGAUUAGCUAGUAGGUGGGGUAACGGCUCACCUAGGCGACGAUCCCUAGCUGGUCUGAGAGGAUGACCAGCCACACUGGAACUGAGACACGGUCCAGACUCCUACGGGAGGCAGCAGUGGGGAAUAUUGCACA
rnacentral:rRNA from 1 species